AUUUAAGUAGUUUAUAGGAAAAUAUUGAUUUGUGGUGUCAAUGAAGUAAAAAAGUUACCUUAGAUC
rnacentral:tRNA from 1 species